CACGUAGGCACCAAGCGUUGUCCGGAUUUAUUGGGCGUAAAGAGCUCGUAGGCGGUUCGGUAAGUCGGGUGUGAAAACUUUGGGCUCAACCCAAAGCCUGCACCCGAUACUGCUGUGACUUGAGUCCGGUAGGGGAGUGGGGAAUUCCUGGUGUAGCGGUGGAAUGCGCAGAUAUCAGGAGGAACACCGAUGGCGAAGGCAGGUCUCUGGGCAUUAACUGACGCUGAGGAGCGAAAGCAUGGGGAGCGAACAGG
rnacentral:rRNA from 1 species